GCGGCAGCGGCGGCGGCGGCGGGGAAGCCGGGGCUGGCUAGCAGUGCCCUUUUGUCCAUGGAGGCUGCUGCGGCGGCGGCGGCGACGACAGCCGCCCCCUCCCCACCCCCGGCGGUCACCAGUCGGAGUUUCCAAGUCUCUCCUCCCCGCCCGGCGCUUCCGAGCCCCUUCUGUCUCGUUUCUUUUUAUUUUUCCGCACCGCACGGGCACCGGGGGCCAAAAAUAAUCGGGGCUCUGGAGAGAGGAGGGUCCCGGCCGCACGGAUAUCGGGCCCCGAGGGGGGAUGGAGGCGUCGGGGGCGGCCGAUGCAACGGAUUGCGAGGCGGCGGCGGCAGCCCGGGUGCUGCGGCCGGCAGCUGAAAAAUGGCUCCAGGAAGCUGCUGCUGACAAUGAAUGAAGGGAUACGGUUUACGCGCCAAGGUCCUCCCGCGAAACUCAGAUUUCCCGCCGGCUUUUCAAACCAUAUUUGCAUAUCCCCGCCCUUCAACCCGCCGAGGACCGUUCCCACAGCCCAUUGGGCCUCUAGCUCCUUACUUAAGUCCCAAUCGUGGCGCAGGGCCGCGGCUGGCUGGUUUCCAUUGGCUGUCUUGCAUCACGGUUACCGGGGCGACAGGGGCCUCAUUUGCAUAGACCUCCUUGAUUGGCUAAGGGAGAGCAGGGUCUUUAGGAGGUGGGGCAAAAGCCUUUCCUUCUCUCCCACGGAAGGCCACGCCUUGUCCAAGCUCCGCCCGGUCCCCGCCCGCACGCCGGGCGGGGGCUGCUGACCUGGGCAGGCGCUCAGCGCCCCGCAGACUCAGUGUCAAUACGGUCUGGAGCGCAAGUUUCGCUUUUAGAAAUUGUCAAGGUGACCAAGGGGACACUUGCGGGAAUUCUCUUCCCUUUGGCCAGUCAGUGUAAUAGAUGAACGAAAGCUGGAGAUUCUCCCAAAUAUGUUCCAAAGGCAAGUUGGACCAUGCGGACGAUGCCUGGCAGGGCAUUUGGUAGAAAACAAACGUUUUGACAUGGCAACAUGGGGUGAACCCCAGGAUGAAGUGGUAGAGAGAAGGGUCCGAAGAGAGAAGAGAAGGUGUUGGAAAACGAGACGCGAAAAUUAGAGGUAGGUCUAUUGAUUUGCGGAGAGGCAGCAUGUUUUCAUAGAAAGAUAAUGGGCUUUGGAGCCAGAGUGAUGUGGGGUUAAAUUAUAGCUCUGCCACUUACUGGUUCUAUAACUUUAAUCUUUAAAAGCCUGUUUUCUCCUAUGGUAAGUGGGAACCCCUAUUGCAGGACCCAUAUUACAAGGUCACGAUGAAAAGAGGCGAUAAUAAAUGUGAAGUGCCAGGCAUAUACCAGGUGCUCAGUAAGUGGUAGCUAUUUAUGCUUCUACUUAA